GUGCCGUGGCGGCGGAGGAGCGCAGCGCGGUCUGCCAGCCGGAGAUGCGUGACGUUGUGUUCUGAGGAGCGGCCAGCGGCGCGAUGGAGCGGGCCAGGAAGAUACUGCUUCAAAUAUGAACAUCUGAUCAUUUGGCCCUUUGCGAGAUGAGAGUGCAUCAUCCUGGUCCGCCAUUUUGUAGUCUUGCCCUCUGACUUAGGACCUCAAUAUGGCGGACUCUGUGGAAAGACCUGAAGUUUGAAGGGACCGUUUACACUUGAGACGGACUACAGAACAGCACGUACCAGAGGUGGAAGUCCAAGUCAAACGUAGAAGGACAGCCUCACUGAGCAACCAGGAGUG